rnacentral:rRNA from 1 species
GGGUUGUGAGGUUAAGCGACUAAGCGUACACGGUGGAUGCCCUGGCAGUCAGAGGCGAUGAAGGACGUGCUAAUCUGCGAUAAGCGCCGGUAAGGUGAUAUGAACCGUUAUAACCGGCGAUUUCCGAAUGGGGAAACCCAGUGUGACUCGUCACACUAUCAUUAACUGAAUCCAUAGGUUAAUGAGGCGAACCGGGGGAACUGAAACAUCUAAGUACCCCGAGGAAAAGAAAUCAACCGAGAUUCCCCCAGUAGCGGCGAGCGAACGGGGAGGAGCCCAGAGCCUGAAUCAGCAUGUGUGUUAGUGGAAGCGUCUGGAAAGGCGCGCGAUACAGGGUGACAGCCCCGUACACAAAAGCGCAUGUGCUGUGAGCUCGAUGAGUAGGGCGGGACACGUGGUAUCCUGUCUGAAUAUGGGGGGACCAUCCUCCAAGGCUAAAUACUCCUGACUGACCGAUAGUGAACCAGUACCGUGAGGGAAAGGCGAAAAGAACCCCGGCGAGGGGAGUGAAAAAGAACCUGAAACCGUGUACGUACAAGCAGUGGGAGCACCCUUUGGGGUGUGACUGCGUACCUUUUGUAUAAUGGGUCAGCGACUUAUAUUCUGUAGCAAGGUUAACCGUAUAGGGGAGCCGGAGGGAAACCGAGUCUUAACCGGGCGUUAAGUUGCAGGGUAUAGACCCGAAACCCGGUGAUCUAGCCAUGGGCAGGUUGAAGGUUGGGUAACACUAACUGGAGGACCGAACCGACUAAUGUUGAAAAAUUAGCGGAUGACCUGUGGCUGGGGGUGAAAGGCCAAUCAAACCGGGAGAUAGCUGGUUCUCCCCGAAAGCUAUUUAGGUAGCGCCUCGUGAAUUCAUCUCCGGGGGUAGAGCACUGUUUCGGCUAGGGGGCCAUCCCGGCUUACCAACCCGAUGCAAACUGCGAAUACCGGAGAAUGUUAUCACGGGAGACACACGGCGGGUGCUAACGUCCGUCGUGAAGAGGGAAACAACCCAGACCGCCAGCUAAGGUCCCAAAGUCAUGGUUAAGUGGGAAACGAUGUGGGAAGGCCCAGACAGCCAGGAUGUUGGCUUAGAAGCAGCCAUCAUUUAAAGAAAGCGUAAUAGCUCACUGGUCGAGUCGGCCUGCGCGGAAGAUGUAACGGGGCUAAACCAUGCACCGAAGCUGCGGCAGCGACGCUGAUGCGUU